GGGAGCUUGCUCCUGGAUUCAGCGGCGGACGGGUGAGUAAUGCCUAGGAAUCUGCCUGGUAGUGGGGGAUAACGUCCGGAAACGGGCGCUAAUACCGCAUACGUCCUGAGGGAGAAAGUGGGGGAUCUUCGGACCUCACGCUAUCAGAUGAGCCUAGGUCGGAUUAGCUAGUUGGUGGGGUAAAGGCCUACCAAGGCGACGAUCCGUAACUGGUCUGAGAGGAUGAUCAGUCACACUGGAACUGAGACACGGUCCAGACUCCUACGGGAGGCAGCAGUGGGGAAUAUUGGACAAUGGGCGAAAGCCUGAUCCAGCCAUGCCGCGUGUGUGAAGAAGGUCUUCGGAUUGUAAAGCAUUUUAAGUUGGGAGGAAGGGCAGUAAGUUAAUACCUUGCUGUUUUGACGUUACCAACAGAAUAAGCACCGGCUAACUUCGUGCCAGCAGCCGCGGUAAUACGAAGGGUGCAAGCGUUAAUCGGAAUUACUGGGCGUAAAGCGCGCGUAGGUGGUUCAGCAAGUUGGAUGUGAAAUCCCCGGGCUCAACCUGGGAACUGCAUCCAAAACUACUGAGCUAGAGUACGGUAGAGGGUGGUGGAAUUUCCUGUGUAGCGGUGAAAUGCGUAGAUAUAGGAAGGAACACCAGUGGCGAAGGCGACCACCUGGACUGAUACUGACACUGAG
rnacentral:rRNA from 1 species